UACGUAGGGAGCAAGCGUUGUCCGGAAUCAUUGGGCGUAAAGCGCGCGUAGGUGGCCUCAUAAGUCCGCUGUGAAAGUCAAAGGCUCAACCUUUGAAAGCCGGUGGAUACUGUGAGGCUAGAGUACGGAAGAGGCGAGUGGAAUUCCUGGUGUAGCGGUGGAAUGCGCAGAUAUCAGGAGGAACACCCGUGGCGAAGGCGGUUCUCUGGGACGGUACUGACGCUGAGACGCGAAAGCGUGGGGAGCAAACAGG
rnacentral:rRNA from 1 species